rnacentral:rRNA from 1 species
AUUGAACGCUGGCGGCAUGCCUUACACAUGCAAGUCGAACGGCAGCACGGGAGCAAUCCUGGUGGCGAGUGGCGAACGGGUGAGUAAUAUAUCGGAACGUGCCCGGUCGUGGGGGAUAACGUAGCGAAAGCUACGCUAAUACCGCAUACGAUCUACGGAUGAAAGCGGGGGAUCGCAAGACCUCGCGCGAUUGGAGCGGCCGAUAUCAGAUUAGGUAGUUGGUGAGGUAAAGGCUCACCAAGCCGACGAUCUGUAGCUGGUCUGAGAGGACGACCAGCCACACUGGGACUGAGACACGGCCCAGACUCCUACGGGAGGCAGCAGUGGGGAAUUUUGGACAAUGGGCGCAAGCCUGAUCCAGCAAUGCGCGUGCAGGAUGAAGGCCUCGGUUGUAAC